GCAGGCUGAGGAGCGCCACGGGAAUUUCGAGGAGCGUCUGCGCCAGCUGGAGGCGCAGCUGGAGGAGAAGAACCAGGAGCUGCAGCGGGCACGGCAGCGGGAGAAGAUGAACGACGAACACAACAAGCGGCUCUCGGAGACGGUCGACAAGCUGCUGUCGGAGUCCAACGAGCGGCUGCAGCUGCACCUCAAGGAGCGAAUGGGGGCUCUGGAGGAGAAGAACACGCUGAGCGAGGAAAUCGCCGACAUGAAGAAGCUGCAGGACGAGCUGCUCUUGAACAAGG